AUGAUGCUCGCUGUUUUAUUGACAAGUGACAUUAUCAUCAGAAGAGAGUUAAUAUUUUCUUUUGAUCCUCGCAGAGUAAGUGUUGCUGAUGGAGCUCAUUUGACUGAAUUGGCUACUCCACAUUUUGAGGGGCUGCAAUUGAAUAAUACAACUCUUUAUGAUGGGAAUAACUUUGUGCCAGCAUUUGGUCUUCCUCAUUGUUUUAGCAUGAGACAAGAAUUUCCUCCCGUGGAUCAAGAUUUCAUUGCUGAUGGAAACAUAGAACAGAGGUCAAAUCACACACACCGCAGGAGAAGAGAUUUUCCAAAAACAUCAGCAUUGCGCAAGUUUUCUGAGAAGCACGAGUUUGGAAGUUCCAGCACUUCUAUGGAGCCAUCAUAUUUUCUGAAAGCAACAGCCCCGAGUCCUACAGAAGAAAGAAAUCCACCAAAGCCUCCAAAAUUUCUUGCGGAAAACUGCAACCGUCAACCACAUCAUCACAGCGUUGGCCUACCUGUUCAAUAUCUAGAUUUCUUCAUAACUAACUUGGGAGAAAUCGAUAAACAUGCAUGCUACCACAAUUGUCACCAGAUAUGGCCAGUGGGUUUUACAUCUUACUGGCAUGAUAGAGUUACUGGUUCACUGCUUGAGUGUGAGGUGUGUGAUGGAGGAAGUUCUGGGCCCUUGUUUAAGGUCAGAAGGUUACCAUGUUCAGCAUUCCCCCUUCCAGAAGCUUCAACUAUUCUCUCCCAGAAUGGUGCAAGAAUGGCCGAUACAACUGAAACAAAGGAAAGUGGCAGUUUUAUCAGAGAUACUGCUAAUGAUAUGGAUGAUAAUAUUUAUAUGAUUAUCGAUAUUCCCUCUGAGACCAAACAAGAUUUGUUAUCAUGUCUUACCAAUGAUACGGAGGAGAAAAGGACUUCUUUGGGUUGCAAUGAUCUACAGAGUUCAAAUAUGAUGUCACAAAUACUACCAUCAAAUUCUGAGAAUGCUCCACCAAGUAAAGAAGCCAAUAUUAAUGACCAAAUUGGGGAGUUUACAUUUGAGGGAACAUCAUCCUCUUCAGUAUGGGGGAUGAUUUCUUCUGCUAUGAUGGAAGCUUGUGAAAAAAUGUACAGGGAACAUGGGCAUCUGGUAUUCUCAUGCACGCACAGCAGUGAAAAUCAUUUAUUAAACAAGGGGAGUGGAUGUCAGAACUUUGAUGGUCCUUACGCUCCCCUAACUAGAUUUUGCUCGUCCAAUGGCCCCAGUAUACCACGAGUUACAGAAAAGAAGAAUGAUGUGGAAUCUACUUAUACAUUACUGAAGAAUUGGUUAUACCAUGAUAGAAUUGGGCUUGAUUUGGAAUUUGUUCAAGAAAUUGUGGAGUCUCUUCCUAGAUCCAGGUCUUGCAUAAACUACCAGUUCUUGUGCAAUAGGACCGAAUUUCACUCUUCUGUGACAGUUGCAAGUGGUUUACUUUUAUCUGUGCAUAAAGAUGGUCAAAGUAAUGGAGAUACGUCAUAUCAUAGACAUGGUGCGGUGACUGGGCUACAUGAUCAUGCUCAGCCCAGCGCUUCUAGCAUCCGCGAGCUACCUCCAGGACGUCCUAUUAGCCAUAAACUUCAACCAGAAUCGGCGGCAGAUGUUUUCCAGAUAUGGGAGUUCUUGGGGCGCUUUGCCGAAAUCAUUGAUCUCAAAGAAGUGCCUUCAUACGAACAAUUAGAAGAUGAACUUGCUGACCCAUGGCCAAUUUGUGCAAGUCCGGAAGAAACACUGUCAAAGGGCAUUCAACAAUGUAGGGAUUACUCUUCACCAAUGAAUAAUUCCCCUGCAAAUGCUUCUACAUCACAUUCAAAUAGUGAAUCUGGUCUCUCCAAUAAUGAAGAGAUUGUGUCUGUAUUUAUUCCUGUUGAAACUUCCUCUAUGAAGGAAGCUUGUCUAGAUAAAUUGGCAGCCAAGACACUUGGGAGGUGCACUGGUACAAUAUUGCCUGGGGUUCAUCUUGCACUCAUUAAGGUUCUUUUUGGUGAGGUAUUAUCAAAGCUGAACAUUGACCCGAAAGAUUCAAAACCCAGGCGUGGAAGAAAGAAGGACACUGAGAACCUUAUUUCAACAAAGGAUUUUAACUUUGAUAUGCUAACUGCUAACAAGUUGACUUGGCCAGAGUUGGCUAGAAGGUAUAUGUUAGCUAUUUCUUCCAAAAAUGGGUGCAUGGAUGUGUCAAAUAUUUCCAGUCGAGAAAGGGUGAAGUUAUUCCGCUGCCUACACGGUGAUGGUGGCAUAUUGUGCGGAGCAGUACCUGGGGUUGCCGGCAUGGAGAAGGAUGCCCUGAUUAACUCUUUAUAA
rnacentral:rRNA from 1 species